GACGAACGCUGGCGGCGUGCCUAAUACAUGCAAGUAGAACGCUGAAGGAGGAGCUUGCUUCUCUGGAUGAGUUGCGAACGGGUGAGUAACGCGUAGGUAACCUGCCUGGUAGCGGGGGAUAACUAUUGGAAACGAUAGCUAAUACCGCAUAAGAGUAGAUGCUGCAUGACAUUUACUUAAAAGGUGCAAUUGCAUCACUACCAGAUGGACCUGCGUUGUAUUAGCUAGUUGGUGAGGUAACGGCUCACCAAGGCAACGAUACAUAGCCGACCUGAGAGGGGGAUCGGCCACACUGGGACUGAGACACGGCCCAGACUCCUACGGGAGGCAGCAGUAGGGAAUCUUCGGCAAUGGACGGAAGUCUGACCGAGCAACGCCGCGUGAGUGAAGAAGGUUUUCGGAUCGUAAAGCUCUGUUGUAAGAGAAGAACGAGUGUGAGAGUGGAAAGUUCACACUGUGACGGUAUCUUACCAGAAAGGGACGGCUAACUACGUG
rnacentral:rRNA from 1 species